UAACACAUGCAAGUCGAGCGGUAACAGCAAGAAAGCUUGCUUUCUUUGCUGACGAGCGGCGGACGGGUGAGUAAUGCCUGGGAAUAUGCCUUAGUGUGGGGGAUAACUAUUGGAAACGAUAGCUAAUACCGCAUAACGUCCUUGUUCAUUACGAGCGGGACCAAAGAGGGGGACCUUCGGGCCUCUCGCGCUAAGAUUAGCCCAGGUGGGAUUAGCUAGUUGGUGAGGUAAAGGCUCACCAAGGCAACGAUCCCUAGCUGGUCUGAGAGGAUGAUCAGCCACACUGGAACUGAGACACGGUCCAGACUCCUACGGGAGGCAGCAGUGGGGAAUAUUGCACAAUGGGGGAAACCCUGAUGCAGCCAUGCCGCGUGUAUGAAGAAGGCCUUCGGGUUGUAAAGUACUUUCAGUCGUGAGGAAGGCAUUGUAGUUAAUAGCUGCAGUGCUUGACGUUAGCGACAGAAGAAGCACCGGCUAACUCCGUG
rnacentral:rRNA from 1 species